rnacentral:misc_RNA from 1 species
GAAAUGCGAUACUUGGUGUGAAUUGCAGAAUCCCGCGAAUCAUCGAGUCUUUGAACGCAAGUUGCGCCCGAAGCCAUUAGGCUAAGGGCACGUCUGCCUGGGCGUCACGCAUCGCGUCGCUCCCCCAACACCGUGCAUGAAACACUGUCGGUUGUCGGAGGGACGGAUAUUGGCUUCCCGUGCUUCGGUGCGGCUGGCCUAAAUGCAUGUCCCUUGCGACGGACACGACGACAAGUGGUGGUUGAUUACCUCAACUCAGUUGCUGUCGGACGUUGACCCGUCGGAUGAGGAGACUUCCUUGACCCUAAUGCAUUCGUCAUCACGACGUCUGCCACGACCGCGACCCCAGGUCAGGCGGGAUUACCCGCUGAGUUUAA